NNGUUUGGAGGGUGCCGGUCAACGAAGCCACGCGAGGUAUUUGAAAGGCAAUCAGCCCGACCGUCCCCCUAGAUUCAUCGGAGAAGGAACUCAGUGAAUAUUGCCCUGGGUCCUGGUAAUUCCACCUACUGAAGACAACUGCCCCUUCUGCUCAUAUUUCCUGAGUCAACAUGGCCGUUCCUAACUUUGAAGAGACUUUAGACAUUCUUUGUUACAAUGAACCUAGAAGAAAGAAGAGAAAUAAUAACUGCCAUGGAAGGAUGCUCCUCCUGCCAAUUGGCACUUAUCAAUGACAUCGAGGGAGAGGGACAGAGUGCCUAGGUAUGAGCCUUCAUCAAGUGGUAUGAAGGCCCUACCCCAACAGAAAGUGCUGAUGUGAUGAAAUGGUGCUUUGGACAAGACUUUUCCUCCAAGUUGGUCCUAUCCAGGGGUUGGCAAACAGGGUCCCUGGACAUCAUCCAUGUGGCAUACUCUUAUGAAUAAAGUUCUAUAGGACACA
ensembl:lincRNA Pantr1 POU domain, class 3, transcription factor 3 adjacent noncoding transcript 1